rnacentral:sRNA from 1 species
AUUGACGCCAUGAGCGCGCUGCUGCGGCUGCUGCGCACGGGUGCCCCAGCCGCUGCGUGCCUGCGGUUGGGGACCAGUGCAGGGACCGGGUCGCGCCGUGCUAUGGCCCUGUACCACACUGAGGAGCGCGGCCAGCCCUGCUCGCAGAAUUACCGCCUCUUCUUUACGGUAGCCGCGCGGUCCAGGCCACCUUCCUUCCCGCGGGAGCGCGCACCGAGUCACGAGAACUGCCAGCGAGGAGGCGGCGGAUCAAGACCCCAAAGCGGAGCGCAGAGGCGCAGGGCUGCCGGCUGGGGGGUAGACAGCGCCCUGUGCCCUGCCAGCCGCCCUCCCCGAGGGGUAGUCAGAGUGCAGGCGGCCACACCGCGGCGGCCUGCAGCCAUUAGCCGGCCCGGCCGCCGUUCCUGGUUCACACAACUCAGUGAGGAAGGGAAGGCAGAGCCAGCCCACAUGCCGGCCUUCCUAGAGGCGUAAGAAACCUCCUACUGCGGGAGCUCCCUGACGUCGGAGAGGCAGGCGGAACUUUGCGGAUGCCUAAUCCAGCGCGUCUUCUUUUUUUGAGGGACUCUGAUGAAGGUUCUUU